UACGUAGGCAGCAAGCGUUGUUCGGAGUUACUGGGCGUAAAGAGUGUGUAGGCGGUGCUCCCAGUCUGUUGUGAAAUCUCCCGGCUUAACCGGGAGGGUGCAGCGGAAACUAGAGUGCUAGAGGGUGGGAGAGGUAAGCGGAAUUCCUGGUGUAGCGGUGAAAUGCGUAGAUAUCAGGAGGAACACCUGUGGUGUAGACAGCUUACUGGACCACUUCUGACGCUGAGACACGAAAGCGUGGGUAGCAAACAGG
rnacentral:rRNA from 1 species